UUCUUCCUCUCCUGUAGAUCAUUGUGGCCAGACGGGAGAUCUCUGAGCUUGGGCUAUAGGGGAAAUAGGUCAGCCUUUGGGUGCUGCUAUGCUUGCAAACCAGCGUCUGGGGAGAAGAUGACAUUUCCGGUGGCAUCUGGGGCAAAUGACACGAGUCAGCAUUUACUUUCUUGCUUUAGGAAGCAGAAGACUAAUGACCGAAGCUUCAAGACUUUGACAUGUAUGAAAACAUGAAAUGAACCUCGGCUCUUAUUGUUCUUGCUGGUGUGGUGCGUUCACGGCUGAGGAGGUGGUCAGAAGAGGAAAGGAGGAAGUGAGAAGAAACACGGAAAUGAUGGAGUGUUGAAAGACUGGAGUGCAAUGGUGUGAUCUUGGCUCACUGCAGCCUCCGCCU